rnacentral:rRNA from 1 species
AUUGAACGCUGGCGGCAGGCUUAACACAUGCAAGUCGAGCGGGGGAAGGUAGCUUGCUACUGGACCUAGCGGCGGACGGGUGAGUAAUGCUUAGGAAUCUGCCUAUUAGUGGGGGACAACGUCUCGAAAGGGAUGCUAAUACCGCAUACGUCCUACGGGAGAAAGCAGGGGAUCUUCGGACCUUGCGCUAAUAGAUGAGCCUAAGUCGGAUUAGCUAGUUGGUGGGGUAAAGGCCUACCAAGGCGACGAUCUGUAGCGGGUCUGAGAGGAUGAGCCGCAACACUGGGCCGGAGACACGGCCCGGACGCCUCCGGGAGGCAGCAGUGGGGAAUAUUGGACAAUGGGGGGAACCCUGAUCCAGCCAUGCCGCGUGUGUGAAGAAGGCCUUAUGGUUGUAAAGCACUUUAAGCGAGGAGGAGGCUACUUUAGUUAAUACCUAGAGAUAGUGGACGUUACUCGCAGAAUAAGCACCGGCUAACUCUGUGCCAGCCGCCGCAGUAA